GUGGGGAAUAUUGGACAAUGGGCGCAAGCCUGAUCCAGCCAUGCCGCGUGAGUGAUGAAGGCCUUAGGGUUGUAAAGCUCUUUUGUCCGGGAAGAUAAUGGCUGUACCGGAAGAAUAAGCCCCGGCUAACUUCGUGCCAGCAGCCGCGGUAAUACGAAGGGGGCUAGCGUUGUUCGGAAUCACUGGGCGUAAAGCGCACGUAGGCGGACCAUUAAGUCAGGGGUGAAAGCCUGGAGCUCAACUCCAGAACUGCCUUUGAUACUGAUGGUCUCGAGUUCGGAAGAGGUUGGUGGAACUGCGAGUGUAGAGGUGAAAUUCGUAGAUAUUCGCAAGAACACCAGUGGCGAAGGCGGCCAACUGGUCCGAUACUGACGCUGAGGUGCGAAAGCGUGGGGAGCAAACAGGAUUAGAAACCCCUGUAGUCA
rnacentral:rRNA from 1 species